rnacentral:rRNA from 1 species
ACGAAUCCAAUCUUACCUGCCUUAGCGGUACACUUGAUGCUGUUCUUCGGGGUCGACGUUCGCGUCGUUAAAUCGCCUGUGGGAAAGGGUAGGCACGCUCUUCUUUCGAGUAGGGGGUGUUUACCUGGGCGUGCCCCGAAUUAGUUUUUUCUUCCCACGAAUCCUCCUCUCAAUGCCUUAACGUAUCCGAUCCUCUUGAUCAUUUUGAACAAGAGAGUUGCCUAAAAGCGAACAACUUUUAACGGUGGAUCUCUUGGCUCGUGCAUCGAUGAAGAACGCAGCAAACUGCGAUAAGUAAUGUGAAUUGCAGAAUUUAGUGAAUCAUCGAAUCUUUGAACGCAAAUGGCGCUCUUGGGUAUUCCUAGGAGCACGCCUGUCUGAGCGUCGUUUCUCACAUCCAUCUCCGAAAGGAGCUGGGCAAUGAGGUGUCCCUUUGCUGUUCAAUGCAAACGGUCCCUUGAAGUAGAGCGAUCUCGAGAUGUACGGAAGUCCAUUCGUGGCCCGUCACUCUCGGUGUGGUAGUAAUAUCUCACCUGGAAGACGUGCUUCGCGAUGUGACUGAAGUGUCAUCAAUAAACGAGAUUGUGCUGGAAGGACAUUUCGUACCGAGAAUUCUCGGUAGGAGAUAGACCAAUCAAGACCUCAGAUCAGACCAGACUACCCGNNGAACUUAA